UCAAAGCAAGGCACUGAAAAUGCUUAGAUGGAUAACUAAUCCCAUAAACA
rnacentral:tRNA from 1 species